CAGCGGAGGAGGGUGUGAACUGAGAGAGACACAGCGGGUCUUACAAGUGGAUGUCAUAUUCCUGACGUCCAUGGAUACAAAACAAAAAUUGUUGGCGCCAUUAAGUUUCUGCGCCAACACUGCAAAUAAUUGUUAGGCCUUUUUUGGGAUUGAUUAAACGUUAUUUGACUUUUUGGCAUCUAUAUCUAAUCUUCCCUAUCUUAUUUCAUUUCAUUGCAUUUCAUCUCAUUUCAUUUUAUUCGAAUACAACAACUUACAUCUACUUUAUUCUAUUAACAUGCACAUAAUCAGCACAUAAUUAUUUCGUAGGUUUUAUUUUUAUUACUGUUAUUUUAUUUAAAAUAUUUUAUUAUACUGUCGUAAUGUUAGAUUUUUUUAAUCCUUAUUAUAGGUUUUUUUUUUUAUUUUAUUGUUGUUUUACUAUUUUAUGUUUAUUAUUGUUAUUACGUAAAUUUCGUAGAGGCCACUAGUCAAAUUUCAAAUACGAAAUUAGUGAAAUUUUAUAUUUGCCAACUGGAGUCUUUCGACGUUUGCGCCUUUUUAUCCUCCUUGACGGGCUGAUUUGAUGAACGCCAUCGCGUCUUCGAGCAUCCAAGCAUCAAUCAUAGUAAGAACUAACAUGUAUUGAAACCAAGAAGCUAAUAUAUAGACCUAUAUAAUACCUUUUUGGUUAAAAUGGGAUGUUGCAUCCAUUUCUACUAACACACAGGUGUAGACAUUAGGCUUUCUUUUUCAGGGCAACGAAGCUAAUAAUAGUUAUGGUGGAGAUCUUGUUGAUACUAUGCAAUGUUAAUACUUUAUAGGAAACUUGGCUAGAUUGUAUAUUUGAAAAAAAAGGUUUAAUGAUGUUACAGAAUUGCAAUGAUAAUAUAGAUGAACCAUGGAUUCCAUGGCUAAACUUCAGUAGGUAUUAAAAUCUCCAUGCUAGGCCACUGUCACUAAAUGUUGAUAGUCUGACAACAUUAGAUCAUAUAUCCAGCAACUUUUUGACAUCAUCAAUUUAUCAUACUAAACAGCAUCAACUAGACUAUUUAUGAAUGUAUGUAUUAUGAAAAUAUUGAACUAACACUUAGGCCGAUAUAAAACAGUUGUUGUUUAAUUAUGUUGAUUAUAAUGCAAAUGUGACGGGACCACAGGUAAGUUACUAACACAGCAAGACAUCGCCUCGAGCAUCCAAGCAUCAAACCAAGUAAGUGAACUAAUCACUAUAGGAUUGUUUGUGUAGAAAAAAAAAACAAUCGUACUAAUAUCCUACCCAAUGCCCAUCUUGUAUUUUUAUUUAUUUAUUUUAUUAUUCGUGCCGAUAGUUGGUUAGGUCAGUAUUUGAUAAUGGUAGCAGGUGCUGCCUCAAUGCGUCUUCAAUUGUGUACCUACGAAAUUGUUGCAAUAAAACUGUACAAACAACUGUGUCUUGUCUAUUUGUCCGUGUCUUUUUGUUUAUCACACCAUGAUGAUUACCCACCCCCCACAUACCAAACAUUGUAUCCCUAUGAAUUUGUUUCAAUAAAUCGAUGCAUUAGAACAUGCGUUUAUGACUCGUUUAUUUAACAUCUACAGAAGUGUUUUUGUUUGAAUCUGUUACGAAUUGUAAUUUUGUAAAAUCAAUGUAAAACAAUAGUAAAUGGAAUUCAUUUACCAUUGUUAAAUUUCAAUGUAUGUAAAUCCAAGAUGUAUAAUAACUAAUAGCAUGUCUUUUAUUUCAGAAAUAUUAAUUUUGUUUUCCAUGGACAGAGCAAGGCGACAAAUACCUUGUGCAUCACAGGUCUUUAUCGCCUAUGCAUGUGUGCGGAAUAAAUAAAUAUAUGUUCAAUCCUUAUUUUAUAACUUUGAAGUUCAUUUCAUUUCAGAAAAAAAAAAUGAUGCUUGGGAAAUAUGUUAGCAUACUGAUUGGAUGGUGGUACUUAUGCCGAUGACUAAUUAUCGACGUGGAAUGAGAAUGAAAAAUAUUAAUGAUGAUUGUGAUGAUGACGGAGCGAUGAAUAUUUAAUAGUGACGAUUAAUACAGAUUUUAAAGUUGUGAUUAGUUCAUAUGAGUUUCUGUGAGUUGUGAUUUAAGCCGAUUACAAUAUACUAUAAUGAAAAAUGAUGGCGAUGAAUGACAGUGAUGACGAUUAACGAUAAUGAAAUGGUGUAUCUAAACUUGCAAAGGUAAGUUGUGAGGUAAUGUUUGAAUGUCUGAAAGUUUCCAAGGCGACUUUGUGGGGUUGUGAAAUGACGUGAUGUAAAACUAGAGCAAUAAUAACAGGCCAUACCUAUAAAUUAUAUUGUUUUCAUUUUAGAAAAAGAAAAAACACAAUAUUGAUAAUGCAUGUUUUCCGAAUAAAUCAAAUCAAUUUGCUAUGUGGAGUAGUGCCUCUUCUGAUGGACAACUGUGUUCAUGGGGACGACGAUAACGAUGAGAAUAACGAGGAUGUUGUAAUGAUGGCGAUAUAGAUGAUACAGUGAUAACGAUGGUGAUGAUGAAAUGGUAGACCUGUACUUGAAAAUUAGUGCUUGUGGACUGUUCUCCGACCUGACUGUAAUGUAGAGUGAUCGAUUUAAAAACAGGAAAUAUGUGGACGUCGAUGGUUAAUAUUGAUGGAAUGGGGAUGGACGUCUAUGAUAUUACUAAAGAAAGUUGAUGAUGCUAAGAAAGAAACCUGGUGAUUUUGAUAAUGAUGCUUGUGGAUAUAUGCUAUGAUUGUCUGGCGGUUCUUCUGCGAAUGGAUAAUUUAUCGAUUUUAAUUGAAAACAAAAGUUGCAGUGAUGUUGAUGGUGGUGAUGAUGAUUGUAAUGAUGAUGGUGUUAGCGAUAUAUACAUGUAGACCUUUCAUAUCGACAUGAAAUGAAUAUUGAACGAAUCCGAUGAUAUAAUUCAUGAUAACGAGGAUGUUGUUGCUGAUAAAGAUGGUGAUAGAGAUGACGUUAAAACAAUAACGACGAUGAUAAUUUCACGGUACUUGAUUACUAGUAUUACUCUUGAAGAUUUACUUUUGCUUAUCCUCUUAUAUUGGAUACAAAUAUGGACUGCAAAGUUUUGGUGGUUCCUGUGAGCUUUUAGUGAGUUGUGAUUUGAGUUGAUUAACAGACUUUGCUAUUAAUUACAACAUAAUAAAAUGACAGAUGACGGUGAUGAUGUUUGAAUGCAAUAGGGCUAUUGGGAUAUGCAUAGGCCUGUAAAUUUUACAACAUAAAAUUGUUUUCAUUUCAGAAAUGAAAUAAUAAUAGUAAUGAUUGCGAUUUUCAGACUAAAUUGCUUCAACGCGUUUCUUUUGAUGGUGAAUAUUGAGGACGAUGAUAAUCAUAACGAAUAUGAUCUUAUAUAAUGAUGGCGAUAUAAUGAUCUUGGUGACAAUGAAAUGGUAGACCAGUUUGUAAAGGUUUACGCAGUACAUUAUUUGUAAACACAGUGCAACAGAAGUGGUUGAUAUGCAAGGCCUUGAAUUCUUGUGAACUGUCGCCGACUUCAACAUACUGAAACUGUGUGCGAUCGACUAAAAAAGGGAUCUACUGGUGGACAUUGGUGGAUUAAAUCUUGAUUUUACUAAAGGAAUUCGGAGUGAUCAAGCUAAUACCAGUACUGACCCAGGAAGCAAAUUUUGUUUAGUUUAUCAGCAGAAUAACAUCCGUUCAGAUGGAAUGAGCCAAUCUGGUCGAUUUAAUUUAGAGAUGCCGAGUAUUUUUGCCAAUAACCUAGAACGUACAAUUAGAUAUUAUGGUAAAAAGCAUUUGUCAUUGCAGUUGGUAAUAUUAAAUAUAGGCUAUAUAAUAAUAUUUAAUAAUAAUAAUAUUUAAAAAAAUAUUUUUUAUUAAAAAUAAAAGCCUACAUUUAAAAUAAUUAUUAACAACCGUACGAAUACAGUAUUCAUCAAUACAAUUACUUUGUUCGUUUUGUAUAUUUGUCAUCAUCCAUGUAUUUGUUUGUUUCGUACAUUACUGUUUGAUAUCACUUUCAUCAUUUCAUUUCGCCCUAACCUAGUCCACCCUCUCUCAUAUCUACCUCAAUUUGGCCUAUAGAUAGGUCGUAGUUUAAGGUGUAGAGUUAGUAUUAGCUAGGUUAAAUAGGUCGUAGUUUAAGAUGUAGAGCUAGUAUUAGCUAGGUUAAAAAAGUAGAUUUCCUUCCUAGAUGAGAGAGGAAUGGGCAAUGCAUUAACCUCCUUCAUCAACAUCAAUUCAAUGUAUCGAAUCAUUUUAUUACCGUACUGUAUCGUAUUGUGUUCGUCCAAAAAUACUAUUGAUCAAUAAAAACAUAUAAAAUAAAGACACAAAUAAUUAUAAAUUUAAAAGUAUAACAAUUGCAAUGACAUGUGCUGAAAUAAUGUCUUAAUAUGAUAAAUUAACUGAUAUCAUUUGCUAUAUAUUCAGUUGUAAUAAUUGUGAUGUUGAUGCAAAUAAAAAUUAUUAGUAAGGCCGAUAUUAUGCUUAGUUGUAUAUAUUUUUCACACCAGCAUUAUGAGCAUAUUAUUAAACGUUGGAUGUUAAACCUAUACCUAAAAUUAAAAAUCCUUGAACGACUUCCGACGUCUUGUUAACUUCAAACAUUUCAUUAUGUUCGAAGAUCAGAAAGUAUCCAAGGAAUAACAAAAGCGGCAUGGCCACUGUGAUCCACAAGGAUGUGCUAUAAUAAUUAAUUUGCAUACUGUAAAAACAGAGGAACUGAUGCCUUUUGUAUUUCUAAAUAAUGUAAACAUCUGCAAAAGCCAAGAGCUUUUGUAGGGUCAGUUUCUCAACAUUUUUCAACAACAUUAUUAUUCCACAGUAUUGCUAGAUUAAUUUGAGUUUGAUUUCGAUCCUAGAAUAAAAUAUUAAAUUAAAAUGUUAAAUGUAAUAAUAUAAGGUUAUAUAAACUUGACUCCAUUCACCUUCAUAAUGGCAAUGUUAAUAGAUAAUUCUGGUGCAAUUUUGGCCUAAUUUAAUUAGGUUUUAUAUGUAGUAAUAUUUAAUAAUGUUUAAUAUUCAUUGUAUGUAUGCCUACAUCUUAUGACUUUAAUUUGUUUGGUGCUUGUUUUAUAUCCUUGUUAUUGUUUAUUUAUUACUGUG